ACUAAAAACAAAACCCCCCUAUUUAUACCCCCUCAUGCACAACGCAAGUAUUAAAUAAACCAUUUUACCCCCUUAGUAUAGGCGAUAGAAAAGGGACUUAGAGAGCAAUAGAAAAAGUACCGCAAGGGAACGCUGAAAGAGAAAUGAAACAACCAACUAAAGCCUAAAAAAGCAGAGCUUCCAACUCGUACCUUUUGCAUCAUGAUUUAGCCAGCAACCUCCAAGCAAAGAGCACUUUAGUUUGGCCCCCCGAAACUAGGUGAGCUACUCCAAGACAGCUUAUUAAUAGAGCAAACCCGUCUCUGUGGCAAAAGAGUGGGAAGAACUUCGAGUAGCGGUGACAGACCUAUCGAACCUAGUCAUAGCUGGUUGCCUGAUAACUGAAUAGGAGUUCAGCCUCUCAACUUCUCCCCUCCCGCCUUCAAACCCCGGACCCCUAAGAAAUUGAGAGAGUUAGUCAAAGGGGGUACAGCCCCUUUGACACAAGACACAACUUUACCAGGAGGGUAAAGAUCACAAUAACACCCCAAGGAACAAUGCUCCGGUGGGCUUAAAAGCAGCCACCCCCUCAGAAAGCGUUCAAGCUCUAGCAUUCCCCCUAUCAUCCCCCGAUCCUGAUAGCCCUAUCUUAACCCCCUCACCCUACCAGGCCUUCCCAUGCAAACAUGGGAGUAAUAAUGCUAAUAUGAGUAAUAAGAGGACAUCCGCCCCUCUCCCCGCACAUGUGUAAAUCGAAAUGGACCAACCACCGAACUUUAACGGCCCCAAAACAAAGAGGGUAUUGGACAACAAACCAAACAACCAGAAAACCACCCAACUAUGCAACCGUUAACCCUACACUGGUGUGCCCCCAGGGAAAGACAGAAGGAGAGAGAAGGAACUCGGCAAAUACGAUAUGAGCCUCGCCUGUUUACCAAAAACAUCGCCUCUUGCUAAAGCUAACAAAUAAGAGGUCCCGCCUGCCCUGUGACGAUAAGUUUAACGGCCGCGGUAUCCUGACCGUGCGAAGGUAGCGCAAUCACUUGUCUUUUAAAUGGAGACCUGUAUGAAUGGCAUAACGAGGGCUCGACUGUCUCCUCUCCCCAGUCAAUGAAAUUGAUCCUCCCGUGCAGAAGCGGGAAUACACACAUAAGACGAGAAGACCCUAUGGAGCUUUAGACACUAAAGCAGAUCAUGUCAAAACCCCCUAAACAAGGAACAAAACUAAUUGAGCUCUGCCCUAAUGUCUUCGGUUGGGGCGACCGCGAGGCACAAAAAACCCCCGCGUGGAUCAAGGACACCUACUUUCUCCUCCAGCCUCCUUACAGCCCAGAGCCCCCGCUCUCACAAACAGAACUUCUGACCUACAAGAUCCGGCAAAGCCGAUCAACGGACCAAGUUACCCUAGGGAUAACAGCGCAAUCCCCUUUUAGAGCCCAUAUCGACAAGGGGGUUUACGACCUCGAUGUUGGAUCAGGACAUCCUAAUGGUGCAGCCGCUAUUAAGGGUUCGUUUGUUCAACGAUUAAAGUCCUACGUGAUCUGAGUUCAGACCGGAGCAAUCCAGGUCAGUUUCUAUCUAUGAAAUGAUCUUUUCUAGUACGAAAGGACCGAAAAGAUGAGGCCCAUGCCACAAGUACGCCUCACCCUUACCCGAUGAAAUCAACUCAAACAGACAAAAGGGCAUACACGCCUCUAACGCCUAAAAGAACGGCAU
rnacentral:rRNA from 1 species